rnacentral:rRNA from 1 species
UACGUAGGGUGCGAGCGUUAAUCGGAAUUACUGGGCGUAAAGCGUGCGCAGGCGGUUCGUUGUGUCGGCGGUGAAAGCCCCGGGCUCAACCUGGGAAUGGCCGUUGAAACUGGCGAACUGGAGUGUGGCAGAGGGGGGUGGAAUUCCGCGUGUAGCAGUGAAAUGCGUAGAGAUGCGGAGGAACACCGAUGGCGAAGGUAGCCCCCUGGGCUAGCACUGACGCUCAGGCACGAAAGCGUGGGGAGCAAACAGG